rnacentral:rRNA from 1 species
CAGUAGCCGCGGGAAUACGAAGGGUGCAAGCGUUACUCGGAAUUACUGGGCGUAAAGCGUGCGUAGGUGGUGGUUUAAGUCCGUUGUGAAAGCCCUGGGCUCAACCUGGGAAUUGCAGUGGAUACUGGGUCACUAGAGUGUGGUAGAGGAUAGUGGAAUUUCCGGUGUAGCAGUGAAAUGCGUAGAGAUCGGAAGGAACAUCUGUGGCGAAGGCGACUAUCUGGGCCAACACUGACACUGAGGCACGAAAGCGUGGGGAGCAAACAGGAUUAGAUACCCCCGUAGUCCCUGUCUCUUAUAA